CCUACGGGAGGCAGCAGUAAGGAAUAUUGGACAAUGGUCGCAAGACUGAUCCAGCCAUGCCGCGUGCAGGAAUGACUGCCCUAUGGGUUGUAAACUGCUUUUGUACGGGAAUAAACCCCUCUACGUGUAGAGGGCUGAAUGUACCGUAAGAAUAAGGGUCGGCUAACUUCGUGCCAGCAGCCGCGGUAAGACGAAGGACCCAAGCGUUAUCCGGAUUCAUUGGGUUUAAAGGGUGCGUUAGGCGGAUUGAUAAGUCAGUGGUGAAAGCCUGUUGCUUAACAACAGAACUGCCAUUGAUACUGUUGAUCUUGAAUAUGUUUGAUGUGGGCGGAAUAUGACAUGUAGCGGUGAAAUGCUUAGAUAUGUCAUAGAACACCGAUUGCGAAGGCAGCUCACAAAGCCAUUAUUGACGCUGAGGCACGAAAGCGUGGGGAUCAAACAGGAUUAGAUACCCUGGUAGUCCACGCUGUAAACUUUGAUCACUCGUCUGUUGGUCGAUACACAGUCGAGCGGCGUACGACGAAACGACGUUAAGUUAGUAGUACCGACCCGUCGGGGUAGGUACGGUACGUCGCGAAGAGUUAGUAAACGUAACGUAAAGUAAGUUAAGUUAGGUUACGGACGGUUGGAGGACGUUCGGACCGGACGGGACGACGACGGACGGGGAGGGUUAAGGG
rnacentral:rRNA from 1 species